rnacentral:rRNA from 1 species
GGGGAAUAUUGCACAAUGGACGAAAGUCUGAUGCAGCGACGCCGCGUGAGGGAUGAAGGCCUUCGGGUUGUAAACCUUUUUCGCCCCUGAACAAGGCAUCACUUUGGUGGUGUUGAGGGUAGGGGGUAAAGAAGCUCCGGCUAACUACGUGCCAGCAGCCGCGGUAAUACGUAGGGAGCGAGCGUUGUCCGGAAUUAUUGGGCGUAAAGGGCUUGUAGGUGGCUUGUCGCGUCUGCCGUGAAAGGCUUCAGCUUAACUGGAGUAGUGCGGUGGGUACGGGCUGGCUUGAGUGUGGUAGGGGAGAUUGGAAUUCCUGGUGUAGCGGUGGAAUGCGCAGAUAUCAGGAGGAACACCGGUGGCGAAGGCGGAUCUCUGGGCCAUUACUGACACUGAGGAGCGAAAGCGUGGGGAGCGAAC